GAUGAACGCUGGCGGCGUGCCUAAUACAUGCAAGUCGAGCGAACGGACGAGAAGCUUGCUUCUCUGAUGUUAGCGGCGGACGGGUGAGUAGCACGUGGAUAACCUACCUAUAAGACUGGGAUAACUUCGGGAAACCGUAGCUAAUACCGGAUAAUAUUUUGAACCGCAUGGUUCAAAAGUGAAAGACGGUCUUGCUGUCACUUAUAGAUGGAUCCGCGCUGCAUUAGCUAGUUGGUAAGGUAACGGCUUACCAAGGCAACGAUGCGUAGCCGACCUGAGAGGGUGAUCGGCCACACUGGAACUGAGACACGGUCCAGACCCCUACGGGAGGCAGCAGUAGGGAAUCUUCCGCAAUGGGCGAAAGCCUGACGGAGCAACGCCGCGUGAGUGAUGAAGGUCUUCGGAUCGUAAAACUCUGUUAUUAGGGAAGAACAUAUGUGUAAGUAACUGUGCACAUCUUGACGGUACCUAAUCAGAAAGCCACGGCUAACUACGUG
rnacentral:rRNA from 1 species